rnacentral:rRNA from 1 species
GGGUGCGUAACGCGUGGGAACCUGCCUUUAGGUUCGGAAUAACAGUUAGAAAUGACUGCUAAUACCGGAUAAUGUCUUCGGACCAAAGAUUUAUCGCCUUUAGAUGGGCCCGCGUUGGAUUAGAUAGUUGGUGGGGUAAUGGCCUACCAAGUCGACGAUCCAUAGCUGGUCUGAGAGGAUGAUCAGCCACACUGGGACUGAGACACGGCCCAGACUCCUACGGGAGGCAGCAGUGGGGAAUAUUGGACAAUGGGGGAAACCCUGAUCCAGCAAUGCCGCGUGAGUGAUGAAGGCCUUAGGGUUGUAAAGCUCUUUUACCAGGGAUGAUAAUGACAGUACCUGGAGAAUAAGCUCCGGCUAACUCCGUGCCAGCAGCCGCGGUAAUACGGAGGGAGCUAGCGUUGUUCGGAAUUACUGGGCGUAAAGCGCACGUAGGCGGCUUUUCAAGUCAGGGGUGAAAUCCCGGGGCUCAACCCCGGAACUGCCCUUGAAACUGGAUGGCUAGAAUACUGGAGAGGUGAGUGGAAUUCCGAGUGUAGAGGUGAAAUUCGUAGAUAUUCGGAAGAACACCAGUGGCGAAGGCGACUCAC